CAGGUCUUGUGGAUCACAUUUAUAGCAGUUGACAUUGCAGAAAAAGGAUGUUGGGUCUCUUCUUGAGUUCAGAAAGCUCCUUUUGGUUGGUGAGCAGGACAAAGUGGAUCCUUCAGAGUUCCCAUCCGUGUUUGUGUCUCAGCCUGUGUUAGGAUUCAGGGCUGUAGCUGUUGUUGUCACUGAGGAGUCAAACUCUGCUUUAAAUAAUGAGACAUUGGCCUGAUGGCCAAGUGUCAAGAAUAAAGGGGGAAUGAUAUCUGAGUGUUGAGAUGUAACAAGGGCUGAUCCUUUUUGCAGUGGGAUGUAGCCUGGAAAGUGCACAGAGCUGAGCCAAGGGAUUGAAAGGGACCAAGCAAGGGAGGUGAAGAAAGAAGGAAGAAGGAAGUGAGGCAGCAGGCAAGCAGCAGCAAGUUGCUGUGUAAGCAGUGGGAUGUACCCUAGAAACUCCAUGGAGCUGAGCCAAGGGAUUUAGAGGGACUAAGCAAGCGAAGUAAAGAAAGAAUGAAGAAGGGAACUGAGAGAGCAGCCAAGCAGCACCAAGUUCCUCUACAACCAGGGAAUAACUCCUGUCAGCAGCAAGGUCCUGACUGAAGUGGCAGCUGCAGUUGUUCCUGUGGUGUGGGCCAGUGGAACUGCAGGAGAGUGGAAGAGGGCAGAACCUGAUGUGAAUGCAAGAACCUGCCAAGAAAACCAAUGUCCAAGAUGAUUGAUGAGUGCAGGACCUGAGAGAACCCCCUUCAAUGACAACCUGAAGCAGUUUCCAGUGUUGGAUUUAAAAGAUGGCCUUUGCUGCAUCUACUUGAGCAAGGAAAGCCAAGAAACCUUUGCUUUGGCAGGAGAAAAUCUGGAAAGCAGGAAGGAAGAAAAGAAGCCCCCUGACUCCUCCUGAGCCCCAGACAGCCCAUGAACUGCCUUGCUGGGAAUGGUAGGACAGGAUGGACUCUGGAUUGCUCCCUCUGGAUGUGUGGUAAGACUGUUCUGCCAACUUUUCCAACAGCCUGUAAGCAUUUGCUGCCUUGGCUAGAUGGUGCAAGGGCAGCCUUUAAGCAGCUGAAGCAUUCCCUGAGGAGAGCUCUGGGUCUGCCAGAUGUCUCAGAAGUGUUGGAAGCAUCUUUGGUGGGGAGGGCAAACAAAGGCCAAGGUGUGCAGUGACCCCCCUGAGAAGGGACUUUGAGUUAAUGGCAU